rnacentral:misc_RNA from 1 species
GGUGAAGAACGCAGCGAAGUGCGAUAAGUAAUGUGAAUUGCAGAAUUCCGUGAAUCAUCGAAUCUUUGAACGCAAAUUGCACUUUCUGGUAUUCCGGAGAGUAUGCCUGUUUGAGGGUCAGUGUAAUAAAAAUAAAUCGUGGUUACCACUUUUCGUGGUGACGCUUCGGAAUUGAGUCGUCUUACCUUCGGUUAAGUGACUUAAAAUUUUUUCAUACGAUUUCGAAACGUAUUUAAUGUAUUAUGUAUGUUCACGAAUAUCGAAUGUUUAUUAGGUGCGGUCAUUUUCAUGAAUUCGCGUCUAUAAUUUUUUUUUUUUUGACCUCAAAUCAGGUAAGAAUACCCGCUGAACUUAAGCAUAUCAAUAAGCGGAGGA